UACGUAGGGGGCAAGCGUUGUCCGGAUUUAUUGGGCGUAAAGAGCGUGUAGGCGGCUAGAUAGGUCCGUUGUGAAAACUCGAGGCUCAACCUCGAGACGUCGAUGGAAACCAUCUGGCUAGAGUCCGGAAGAGGAGAGUGGAAUUCCUGGUGUAGCGGUGAAAUGCGUAGAUAUCAGGAGGAACACCGGUGGCGAAGGCGGCUCUCUGGACCACAACUGACGCUGAGGCGCGAAAGCUAGGGGAGCAAACAGG
rnacentral:rRNA from 1 species